rnacentral:lncRNA from 1 species
UCCAAUACAUAAGAGAGAGAUAAGUAAUACUCCAAAAUUAGGAGCUCUCUCUAAGUCUCUAAACCAUAGCUGCUCCGCACGAUGCACACAUAAAUGAUGAUAACGUAUACUAUGACAUACAGGCUGCAGAAGUAUAGUGUGAGUACCAAGCACAUGGUACUCAGUAGGAAACUGCCGACUGAGCUCCAAGGAUAAAGUAGAUAUAUACAAC